GCCUGGCUGGCUCAGUUGGUAGAGCAUGUGACUCUUGAUCUUGGGGUUGUGAGUUCAAGUCCUACGUUGGGCC
rnacentral:tRNA from 1 species